rnacentral:rRNA from 1 species
AACGAACGCUGGCGGCAUGCCUAACACAUGCAAGUCGAACGAGACCUUCGGGUCUAGUGGCGCACGGGUGCGUAACGCGUGGGGAUCUGCCCUUUGCUUCGGAAUAACAGUUAGAAAUGACUGCUAAUACCGGAUGAUGUCGUAAGACCAAAGAUUUAUCGGCAAAGGAUGAACCCGCGUAGGAUUAGCUAGUUGGUGGGGUAAAGGCCUACCAAGGCGACGAUCCUUAGCUGGUCUGAGAGGAUGAUCAGCCACACUGGAACUGAGACACGGCCCAGACUCCUACGGGAGGCAGCAGUGGGGAAUAUUGGACAAUGGGCGAAAGCCUGAUCCAGCAAUGCCGCGUGAGUGAUGAAGGCC